AUGAUGAUCAUCACACUUUUAUUUACUUACAACUCAAAAAUUACAACGCAAUACUUAGAACAAAAUAUGACUCUAUGUGAAUGCCUUCGGCGGUGUACCGGGAUAUGCAAUGAAUCAAGAGUGACAUGUAUGAAAAAAAUUAUGAAGGUGGCUUUGCCACAAAUACGAUGUCAACUACAUGAUCAUGCAAAGCAAUAUGACAAUGAUGGAGCGUGUCAUAAUAAACGAAACGGUGGAAAGUUGCAUGGCAAUAUAUCUCGGAAUGGCUAUGGAAAUGCCAUAAUAGGUAGGUAUGGUGGCUGUUUUGAGGAAGGUAUAUGGUGGGUGUAUGAUACCGGCGAAAGGUGCGCGGUAUUAGAGAGGCUAGCAAUGGUGGAAGGGUGA
rnacentral:rRNA from 1 species